rnacentral:rRNA from 1 species
AAACUUUCAACAACGGAUCUCUUGGUUCUGGCAUCGAUGAAGAACGCAGCGAAAUGCGAUAAGUAAUGUGAAUUGCAGAAUUCAGUGAAUCAUCGAAUCUUUGAACGCACAUUGCGCCCGCCAGUAUUCUGGCGGGCAUGCCUGUUCGAGCGUCAUUUCAACCAUCAAGCCCCC